rnacentral:rRNA from 1 species
GUAAACGAUGUCGAUUUGGAGGUUGUUCCCUUGAGGAGUGGCUUCCGGAGCUAACGCGUUAAAUCGACCGCCUGGGGAGUACGGCCGCAAGGUUAAAACUCAAAUGAAUUGACGGGGGCCCGCACAAGCGGUGGAGCAUGUGGUUUAAUUCGAUGCAACGCGAAGAACCUUACCUACUCUUGACAUCCAGAGAAUUUAGCAGAGAUGCUUUAGUGCCUUCGGGAACUCUGAGACAGGUGCUGCAUGGCUGUCGUCAGCUCGUGUUGUGAAAUGUUGGGUUAAGUCCCGCAACGAGCGCAACCCUUAUCCUUUGUUGCCAGCACAUUAUGGUGGGAACUCAAAGGAGACUGCCGGUGAUAAACCGGAGGAAGGUGGGGAUGACGUCAAGUCAUCAUGGCCCUUACGAGUAGGGCUACACACGUGCUACAAUGGCGUAUACAAAGAGAAGCGACCUCGCGAGAGCAAGCGGAACUCAUAAAGUACGUCGUAGUCCGGAUUGGAGUCUGCAACUCGACUCCAUGAAGUCGGAAUCGCUAGUAAUCGUAGAUCAGAAUGCUACGGUGAAUACGUUCCCGGGCCUUGUACACACCGCCCGUCACACCAUGGGAGUGGGUUGCAAAAGAAGUAGGUAGCUUAACCUUCGGGAGGGCGCUUACCACUUUGUGAUUCAUGACUGGGGUGAAGUCGUAACAAGGUAACCA